rnacentral:rRNA from 1 species
GACGAACGCUGGCGGCGUGCCUAAUACAUGCAAGUAGAACGCUGAAGGAGGAGCUUGCUUCUCUGGAUGAGUUGCGAACGGGUGAGUAACGCGUAGGUAACCUGCCUGGUAGCGGGGGAUAACUAUUGGAAACGAUAGCUAAUACCGCAUAAUAGUAGAUGUUGCAUGACAUUUUCUUAAAAGGUGCAAUUGCAUCACUACCAGAUGGACCUGCGUUGUAUUAGCUAGUUGGUGAGGUAACGGCUCACCAAGGCAACGAUACAUAGCCGACCUGAGAGGGUGAUCGGACACACUGGGACUGAGACACGGCCCAGACUCCUACGGGAGGCAGCAGUAGGGAAUCUUCGGCAAUGGACGGAAGUCUGACCGAGCAACGCCGCGUGAGUGAAGAAGGUUUUCGGAUCGGAAAGCUAUGUUGUAAGAGAAGAACGAGGGUGAGAGUGGAAAGUUCACACUGUGACGGUAUAUUACCAGAAAGGGACGGCUAACUACGUG